UCCCCGUUGCCGGGGCAGUCUGAAUAGAAAAAUACAACUAUUCACAAGGGUUGCGCUCGUUAAUGGACUUAACCAAACAUCUCACGACACGAGCUGACGACGGCCAUGCAACAUCUGUCACCGAGUUCAAUAAAGCACUCUCUACUUUCGUAGAGAUUCUCGGGAUGUCAAACCCUGGUAAGGUUCUUCGCUUAGCAUCGAAUUAAAGAACAUCAUCCGCUACUUGUGCGGGUCCCCGUCAAUUCCUUUAUGUUUUAGUCUUGCGACCGUACUCCACAGGCGGGAUACUUAACGCGUUAGCUUCGCUACUGAAGGGGUCGAUACCUCCAACAGCUAGUAUCCAUCGUUUACGGCGUGGACUAC
rnacentral:misc_RNA from 1 species